AGCAGCUGUCGUAGCAUUGGCUGAAUUUACAGUUUUAAAAACAUCCCAAAGCCUUCGAGAUGAUUUGCGUCAUCUUUUACCACGUGUUCACGGAAUAUAAACCCUGUCAUUGGUGUUAAAUAGUUGAGGUGUUGGACUGGUUUUGGUGAGAGGUUUUAACUUCAUGAAACUGACAAAAACUUAUAGGUAGCACAAGAGCAGCUCUGUGUCCCGAGACUCGAGAGAAUAGCUUAUUUUACACAACAACGACGCUUUUUUUUAGAUGGAAGUCGCACUGUAAAACUUUGGGUUUUUCACACCGGAGUCAGAUCAUGUCAACAGCGGAAGACGCAGAGUUGCGCAUGCGCAGUGAGCAGCAGACAUGUGUACCCGCAGGCUGGAGGAGAGAGAUGAGAGAGAGACAGAGCGGAAAAACAGCUGGAAGAGUCGACGUUUACAUCAUCAGUCCUCAGGGCCAGAGCUUCAGAUCCAAAACUCAACUCCACCGAUAUCUGCUCUCUGAAACAAACACCGACCUGCAAUUAAGUGACUUUGACUUCUCAACAUCCAAAAACCACAGUAGAGAACAUCAGACCAAACCAAACGGUCAACAGAAAAAGAAAAGAAAACUCAAGGUCAAAUCAAAUAUUACAGAAAAUUCUCAAAAAUGUAUGUCAAAUGAAGAAAUGGAAGAAGAGAAAAGCAGAGAUGAAGAACAGAGUGGUCUAGAAGACAUGGUCAAAAGAAGCUGUACAGCAAACCAUUUCAAUCCAACAGCAGAUGAACAUACAGAGAUUCCUGCUGUAACACUGCAGUCUGCUUCAGAGAGUCAAGAACAACAUCUGUUAGAGACGACGGGAGAAAAAGAGGAUGAACUUAUAGGAGAAAAUGAUCACAGGGAAUAUCCGUCACCUUGUAGAGACACAAAAAACAGGUCCAAGUUCUUGGUAGAGAAACGGAAAACAAGUCCAUACUUCAGUAGAAGGAAUGAUGGUUUGAGUCCUCCAAAGCGUAAGGCCUUCAGGAAAUGGACUCCACCGCGCUCACCCUACAAUCUGGUACAGGAGACACUGUUUCACGACCCCUGGAAGCUUCUAGUGGCCACAAUAUUCCUCAACAAGACCAGCGGUAAGAUGGCGAUCCCCACACUGUGGCAGUUUUUUGAGCGUUAUCCAAGCGCAGAGGUGACUCGUAUGAGUGACUGGAGGCUGCUGGCUGAACUGCUACAGCCACUGGGUCUCAGUAUACUACGAGCCAAAACACUCGUCCGCUUCUCUGAUGAGUAUCUUAAUAAAUCGUGGCGGUAUCCCAUUGAGCUACACGGCAUCGGCAAAUAUGGCAAUGACUCGUACCGGAUCUUCUGUGUGGAAGAGUGGAGAGAGGACUCAACACAGAUGGAGAUGAAGGAGCCACUGCCAUCCGCCUGGAGCCAGAGGAACCGCUGUCGUCCGCCAGGGGGCAGAAGAGUGGCUGAGGACCGGGUGUGCAGUGUGACCGCAGGAGCUGGAGAAGAGUGUUUCCUUUUCUCUCUCUCUCUCCUCUAUCUCUUUCUGUCUCUCCGGCUUUCUCUUUCUCUCUCCCCUCCCUCUCCUUGUCUCUCAGAUUUUCAGUUUGCGGGGAGGACCACAGGGUGACAGAAAGGCCGAAAGGGCAGCAUCUCCCCUCCAGAGAUGGGGGAGGGGGGGAGCGGGGGGUAAGUUAAUCCGGAUGGUGCCCCGGCCUGAAUUGCGUGGUGGAGGAGUGUGACGAGGAGGAGGGUGUGGCCGGACCGUGAGGAUGCACACCGUCGCUGAGUUGUCUAAUCAGCAGGAGGGAAAUAAGACGAACAGAGAUCCUUUACAUUGGUGCUGAAUCCUGUGACUGGAGGAGGAGGGCGUGUCUGGGCCGAGAAGAUGCACACUCUGUGCUGAGUUGCCCAAUUAGCGGAACAGAGAUAAAAGGAGGAGCCGGGAAUGCCAGAGAGAGAGGGACAAGUGGUGUGUUUAUGCUGCUGUGUUUUCAGUUUGAUGUUCUAUCUAGUUAAAGUCUUGUUGAAUGUGGAUCCAGCUCCCGUGUCCUCCUUUCCCAACCGAACAGAGAUCCUUUACAGUCUGCUUUUCUCUCACAGAACAACCUAAUUGACAGACAUCAGUCUGGAUUCAAAAAAGAACACUCAACAGAGACUGCCCUCUUGUCAAUAGCUGAAACCCUGCGACUGCAAGAGCUAACACCAAAUAAUCCAUCCUCAUUCUUCUUGAGUUUUCUGCUUCCUUCAACACAGUGAAAUUCCCCAGUUCUCCAAGUUAGCAGAGUGUAUCAAUAUAUAUCAAAGACAGGAUGGCUGAAAAUGUCCUUCUAUUCUGACAGAACAGAGGUAUAGAUUAUUGGAUCAAAAACCAAUAAAAAUAAGAUAUAAGCUUAAGCUAGAACAUAAUUUGUCUCUCAACAGAU